UGGAUUAGUGGCGAACGGGUGAGUAACACGUGGGCAAUCUGCCCUUCACUCUGGGACAAGCCCUGGAAACGGGGUCUAAUACCGGAUAAUACUCCUGCCUGCAUGGGCGGGGGUUGAAAGCUCCGGCGGUGAAGGAUGAGCCCGCGGCCUAUCAGCUUGUUGGUGGGGUAAUGGCCCACCAAGGCGACGACGGGUAGCCGGCCUGAGAGGGCGACCGGCCACACUGGGACUGAGACACGGCCCAGACUCCUACGGGAGGCAGCAGUGGGGAAUAUUGCACAAUGGGCGAAAGCCUGAUGCAGCGACGCCGCGUGAGGGAUGACGGCCUUCGGGUUGUAAACCUCUUUCAGCAGGGAAGAAGCGAAAGUGACGGUACCUGCAGAAGAAGCGCCGGCUAACUACGUGCCAGCAGCCGCGGUAAUACGUAGGGCGCAAGCGUUGUCCGGAAUUAUUGGGCGUAAAGAGCUCGUAGGCGGCUUGUCACGUCGGAUGUGAAAGCCCGAGGCUUAACCUCGGGUCUGCAUUCGAUACGGGCUAGCUAGAGUGUGGUAGGGGAGAUCGGAAUUCCUGGUGUAGCGGUGAAAUGCGCAGAUAUCAGGAGGAACACCGGUGGCGAAGGCGGAUCUAUGGGCCAUUACUGAUGCUGAGGAGCGAAAGCGUGGGGAGCGGACAGGAUUAGAUACCCUGGUAGUCCACGCCGUAAACGUUGGGAACUAGGUGUUGGAGACAUUCCACGUCGUCGGUGCCGCAGCUAACGCAUUAAGUUACCCGCCUGGGGAGUACGGCCGCAAGGCUAAAACUCAAAGGAAUUGACGGGGGCCCGCACAAGCGCGGAGCAUGUGGCUUAAUUCGACGCCCCGCGAAGAACCUUCCCCCGGCUUGACAUAUACCGGAAAGCAUUAGAGAUAGUGCCCACCUUGUGGUCGGUAUACAGGUGGUGCAUGGCUGUCGUUAGCUCGUGUUGUGAGAUGUUGGGUUAAGUCCCGCAACGCGAGCAACCCUUGUCCUGUGUUGCCAGCAUGCCCUUCGGGGUGAUGGGGACUCACAGGAGACCGCCGGGGUCAACUCGGAGGAAGGUGGGGACGACGUCAAGUCAUCAUGCCCCUUAUGUCUUGGGCUGCACACGUGCUACAAUGGCCGGUACAAUGAGCUGCGAUACCGUGAGGUGGAGCGAAUCUCCAAAAGCCGGUCUCAGUUCGGAUUGGGGUCUGCAACUCGACCCCAUGAAGUCGGAGUCGCUAGUAAUCGCAGAUCAGCAUUGCUGCGGUGAAUACGUUCCCGGGCCUUGUACACACCG
rnacentral:rRNA from 1 species